rnacentral:rRNA from 1 species
UACGUAGGUGGCAAGCGUUGUCCGGAAUUAUUGGGCGUAAAGCGUGCGUAGGUGGUUUGUUAAGUCUGUUGUGAAAGCCCCGGGCUCAACCUGGGAAUGGCAAUGGAUACUGGCAAGCUAGAGUGCGGUAGAGGGUAGUGGAAUUCCCGGUGUAGCGGUGAAAUGCGUAGAGAUCGGGAGGAACACCAGUGGCGAAGGCGGCUACCUGGACCAGCACUGACACUGAGGCACGAAAGCGUGGGGAGCAAACAGG